GUCUUUCGUCCACUCUUCUCUCAGCGGGCGCUCCACGGCCCUGCUCUGGGCUCGCCUGAGUGCUGGGCUCUGCAGACGCAGGGAUGGGCCAGGCGAGCCCCUCACCACGGAGGUAGCAGGUCCAGAGGAAGCAGCAGAGGCUUCCUGGAGGAGGAUUUGUACCCCUAGGAGGACUAUGUCUUCCUCAUCUUUGUCUUCAGAGGAUAAAUACAAGGCCUGACACAUAACAAGCAUGAGAUUAAUUUACCCGAGGUCAACCACGGUCCAAAGAUAUUAAAUGGAAAAUUCCAGAAAUAAACAAUGUGUAAGUUUUCAGUUGCAUGCUAUUCUGAGUAGCAGGAUGAAAUCUCGUGCUGUCCGGCUUCGUCCCACCUGGGAUGUGAAUCAUCCCUUUGUCCAGUGGAUCCGCGCUAUAGACACUACUCUCCCAUCAGUCACUCAGCAGCUGCUUCAGUUCCCAGAUCAACUGUCGCAGGAUCGCAGUGCUUCUGUUCAAGUAAUCCUUAUUUUACUUCAUUAUGGGCUCCAAAGCACAAGAGGAGUGUUGCUGGUGAUUCCGAUAUGCCAAAGGAAAGCUGUAAAGUACUUCCUUUAAGUAGAAAGGUGAAAGUACUUGACUUAAUAAGAAAAUUUAAAAAACAAAAUUGUAUGCUGUGGUUGCUAAGAUCUACAGUAAGAAUGAUUCUAUUCAUGAAAUCGUGAAGAAGGAAAGAAAUUUGUGCUAGUUUUGCUGUUGCAACUCAAGCUGCAAAAGUUACAACACCUGUGUGUGAUGAGUGCUUAGUAAUGAUGGAAAAGCCAUUAAAUUUGUGGGUGCAAGACACGGACAGAAACGUUCUGAUUGACGGCAAUCAGGUUCCAUUGGGGGUAUUGGAACACAUCCCUGAGGAUAAUGGGGGACUACUGUAUUCUACCAACUUAUUCCUCUUGAAGAAUUCCCUUUCGGAUUUCUGACUGCUGAGUCCUGGACUGGUUGAUGGCAAGGCCAGCUGCCCUGGUUGUCACCUGGAGACUGUGCUGCACUUUUCUCCUGGGUCGAACCCCUCAAUUCCUAGAUCCCACGUCUUCCCCUUCUGGGUUCACUACCUUAUUUGGGGGAACAUAUACCCAUAGCUUUCUUUUUGUUUUAUUUUUUGUUUACCUAUUUAUUUAUCUUAUUUUAUUUUUUGAGACGGAGUCUCCCUCUGUUGCCCAGUCUGGAGUGCAGUGGUGUGACCUCGUCUCACUGCAGCCUCCACCCCCCAGGUUCAAGCAAUUCUCCUGCUUCAGCCUCCCAAGUAGCUGGGACUACAGGUACGUGCCACCAUGUCUGGCUAAUUUUUGUAUUUCUAGUAGAGAUGGGGUUUCUCCAUGUUGGCCAGGCUAGUCUCAAAUUCCUGACCUCAGGUGAUCCAACCGCCUUGGCCUCCCAAAGUGCUGGGAUUGCAGGCAUAAGCCACUGCGCCUGGCCCCAUGUAUACCUAUACUUUUCUAAAAGGAUGUGUUUGGGGUGAAAUCUUAAGACCUUGCCUUUCUAAAAGUGCCUCACAUUUAAUCAGAUAGUUUGACCAGGUAUAAAUUUCUAAACUGGAAAUAUUUUUCCCUCUGAAUUUUGAAGGCUUGCUCCAUUGUCUUCCAGUUUCUGCUGAAAAGUCUGAGGCCAUUCUGUUUCCUAAUCUUUUCUAGAGACUCUGUUCUCUCUUUCUGGAAGCUGUGUCCUCAGUGGGUCUUUUCUUUUAAGAGAAGGGAUCCCAUCGCCACCGAGGCUGGAGUUCAGUGGCACAAUCAUCGCUCACUGCAGCCUUGACCUCCUGGGCUCAAGGAUCCUCCUGCCCCAGCCUCCUGAGUAGUUAGGACUACAGGCUCAUACCACCAUGCCUGCUCAGCCUUAGUGUGUCUUGAAGUGAAUCGAUUUCCAUUCACUGUGCUGGGUACCCAGUGAGUCCUCACGGACAAACUAAUCAUCUUCAUUUUGGAGAAAAUUUAAAAGAAGUACCUCUAUAAUGAUUUUAUUUUUUCUUUCAGGAACUCCUUAAUUAUUCAAAUACUGGCCCUCCUGGAGCAGUUCUCUAUAUUUCUUAUAUCCUUUUUCCACCUAUUUUUCAUCCCAUUUUGCUCUUCAUUCUGGAAAUGUUCUUCAACUCUUCAACAGUUUUUUGUUGUUUUUCAAAAAUUUAUCUUAUCAUAUUUCCAAAAGCCUUUUGUUUGUUCUUUGACUAUUCCUUUUUUUAGAGUAUCUCGUUCUUUUCUCACGGAUGCAAUAUUUUCUCUUAUUUCUUUGAGGAUGUUAGUAAUGUUUUGUUGUUGUUUCUGUUGAAGUGUUUCUCACCAUGCCUAAUCUCUUCUUUGUCCAAGUUAAUUUUUUUUUCUGAUUGUUGAAAAGACAAGCCACAUACUGGGAGAAUAUAUUACAGCACAAAUAACGCACAAAGCAUUACUAUCCGGAAUACAUAAGUAAUUCUUACAAAUUGGUAAGAAGACAACUCAAUUAAAAAAGAGCAAAAGAUAUGAAUGAGCAUUUCACAGCAGAAAAAUAUGAAUGAAAAAUAAACCACAAGAAAAGAUUCUCAGCCUUAUAGAAAUCAGGAAAAUGUAAAUUAAGACCACAGGAAGAUUUUCCAUGGAAAAGAAGUCCCAUAGUGGCAAGUAUUGGAGAGGCAGGAAUCAACAGGGAUCCUUAUAUGCUCCUAAUGCAGUGUAAAUUGCUGCAACCACUUUAGAAUAUUGCGAUUUCAUUACUAAGUGUAAACCCUGGAGAUACACUUGCAUGCAAGCACCCAGAGACAGGUGCAAGGAUAUUCAUAGCAGUGCUGUUUAUUAUGGUAAAAACAUGGAAACCACCCUAAUGUCCUUAACAGUAAAAUUAAUUAAUUGUGGCAUCACCAUAUAAUGAAAUCCUAUACAGCAGUGGCAAUGAGUCUAACAUAGCUGUGGCUGGAUACAGAAGGAAUCAUAGAAUUAUAAUGCGGAGUGAGAAAAGCCUGUUGCAGAAGACUACAUACAACAGGAUUUGACACUUGUAAGGCUCCAAAACAAAGAAAAUUAAAUGAUAUUGUUUAGGUUUUCAUACAUAGGUGAUAAAAGUGUGUUUCUUUGUUUUUAAUGAGAAAAUUAGUCACAGAAUUUAAGAUCUUAGUUACUUCUAUAGGGAAGGCAGGGGAAUGGGACAAGGAGGAAGCCCACAGCAUUGGUCAUGCUCUCAUGUUGAAGUUGGGUUCAAAGGUGUUCAUUAUUAAAAUGCUUCAUAAUGAUGACCAUACAUUUGGUAUUUCUAGGACAAUCUUGGUUUACAUCUAUUGUCUCAACAUAAUUAUUCAGUGCAAGCCUUUCCUUUCUCAGAAAGGUCCUAAUGUAGAUAAUAAAUUAUUUUGGCCAACUUAUUUCUUAUAAAAUGCAACAUGCAUCUCUUUUGUAUGUAUCUAUUAUUCCAUAAUCUAUACAGGUGUUUUUGUUUUUUUGUUUUUGUUUUUGUUGUCAUUGUUGUUGUUUGUUUGUUUUUUUGAGACAAGCCUCUCUCUGUUGCCCAAGCUAGAGUAAAGUGGCACGAUCUGAGCUCACUGCAACCUCCGCCUCCGGGUUCAAGCGAUUCUUGUGCCUCAGCUUAUCAGGUAGCUGGGACUACAGGCACCCACCACCACAUCUGGCUAAAUUUUUGUAUAUUUAGUAGAGACAGGGUUUUGCCAUGUUGCCCAGGCUGAUCUCGAACUCCUGGCCUCAAGUGAUCUGCCCACCUCAGCCUCCCAAGGCUAGGAUUACGCUAAGAUUAUAGACAUAAAUCAGCGCACCUGGCCUCCAUAAUCGAUAUAGUUUUUAAUACUGGGGCCACAGCCUGGCCACAGUCUCAUGGGAUGUUUGUGGUUUGACCCUAACAACCUUGUGAACCAGCCUGGGUAACUGUCCUUGGGGCCUCAAUGAACCAAGCCCUGGAGCACCCAGUCCCCAGAUCCUUCUGGCCACUCUGACUCCCUGUGCCCUGGACCCCACACCUCACCUGUCCUGGGCCCCACUCUGUCCUCUCCUCCACUUCUCACUGCCUGUGGAGCCAUCUUCCAGGGGCCCUGAAACCUCACCCACAAUCCAGGUCCACCCAGGGCCCCUGUGCCAGGCCCCAUGCUGGGUGAUAUUGGGGAACCAUCUUGGGGGCAGCUGGAGAUGGAAACCGUGACAACCCAGUGGAUCAAGGCUAUGGCACAGACCAGGCUGUGACACUGCAGAGGAGAGGGCUUAGCCCAACCUGGGGCCCAGGGAAGGCUGCCUGGAGCUGUUUUGAAGUCUGACGGGAGUGAGCUGGGUAGGGAAAGUGGGGGGAAGAGUGCUCCGGGCAGACAGGACAAAGUGCAGACAGUAGGGUAAGGAGGCACGGUGGGGGACGCAGCUCACAUGUUGCUGUGAGCAGAGCACAGAGCACAGGGCAGUGCCUGGCAGAAGUGGGUCUGGAAAGGGUGCCUCCUGGAGCCAUGAAUGCCAAGCCCAGGGUCUUGGACUGUAUCCUGAAGGCAGCAAGGAGGCACUGAAGGCAUUAGAGCGAAGCAAGGAGAACUGUCAGGCCAGGUGAGUCAUAUCAAGUGAGGUGAGAGUGAAAUUGGGAGAGAGAAGCGGAAAGAGACAAGGCAGCAGAGACAUUUUAUUGUUCUGCUUCGUCCUGGAAACCCACUCCCUGACAGCCUCCUCCCCCUGUCCUGCACCCACCACCCCCACACCUAUCCAUACACACACUGCAGAGCCGGUAGGGGAGGAAUAGCUCUGUGGUCUUGUGUGCAGGUGCUGCUAUGGGACUUCCUGGGUUCACAUCCCAACCUUGCCACUUGUCCUACCUGUGUAACUUUGGGCAGUGGCUCAAUGUCUCCAUGUGUCCAGUUUCCCUGUAAAAUGAGGAUGAUGGAAGUACUUACCUCACUGAAGCUUAACUGAGUCACAGGGGCCUGGCACAUAGUAAGCUCUCAAUCACUGUGAGCCGUCAUGGUCACUGGGGUGACACCACCUGCUCUCCUCCAAAACAGAGGAGACUAUACCCAAGGAAGAAGAAACCAGAGAAAGGACAGGAAGGUUUGGUGGCAGCGACUAGUCUCGAGACGGCAGUCCCCAGAACAGGGCUGGAUGUGUCCCCACCAGUAGACAGGCCCAGAUGCAAGGCCUCUGAUGUGUCUGCCGCUGCAGCCUCCAUUCCUAGGGUGGUGACUCAAUAAAUAUGUGCUGAAUGAAUGAAUGAAUGAAUGAAAUGUCAUGACUUCCAGGUACCCCACUGAUGUGGUUUGACUGUGUCACCACCUAAAUCUCAUCUUGAAUUGUAGCUCCCACAAUCAGGUGUUGUGGGAGGGACGUGAAUCAUGGGGGUGGGUUUUUCCCAUGCUGUUCUCGUGAUAGUGACUAAGUCUCACAAGAUCUGAUGGUUUUAUAAAGGGCAGUUCCCCUACACACGCUUUCUUGCCUGCCACCAUGUAAGAUGUGCCUUUGCUCCUCCUUCAUCUUCCGCCAUGAUUGUGAGGCCUCCUCAGCCAUGUGGAAUUGUGAGUCCAUUAAACCUCUUUUUCUUUAUAAAUUAUCAAGUCUCAGGUAUGUAUUUAUAGCAGCAUAAGAACAGACUAAUACACCCACCUACAAAUAAAGCCCUGAGGUCUCUUCCCCGCCCUUGCUUGGGUGGGUGCAGUGAGUGGAAUGUGUAGUCCCUGAUGCACCAUCUCCGGCCCUUACAGUUUAUGGCUCCUCACUGGGCUGUGUCCAGCAACAUCUAUCCUGCUGUUUCCCCUACUCUGGGCUGUCCCUGCUCUUGCCGCUUUCCUGGGGAGUGGGUGAGGACUGAGGGACACUCAGCCCCAGCCUGGGGACCCAGGGACGAGGAGACACCUCGGGAGGGCUGGGUCACUUCAGGCAAUUACCUUCACCUCUCUAAGCCUCUUGAAAAUGGGCAGAAUGAUCCCUAGGUGUCAGAGGUAUGGAGAGCAUCAUGGGAGAUGACAUCCCUGAAGUGAGGCACACUGUGAUCUGUGUGUCAGCAUUGGCAGGCUGGGAAUAGGGUGAACCUGUGAGGCACCUGGGGUGCAAGUUCUCCCUGGGUCUGGCCCUGUGCUUGGUAAAUGCUGCCUUUUACUACAUAAGGGACAAGUCUGUCAAGAGUGCCUGAGCAAUGGCCUGCAGCCGGGCCUGGGGACAGGGCUUUCCUGGGCUGGUGAUGGUCUGAAGCCCAAGUGGCAAGAAGAAAACUGGAGCCAAGAGGCCCCUUCCACUCAGGACCAGCCUCUCCCCACCCCUCACCCCAUACUCCCCAGGAGCCCAAUAGACACAUCAUUUCUCUUCCCCUCCAUGAGUGAG
rnacentral:lncRNA from 1 species